AAAUGCACAUGCUGUGAGCUCGAUGAGUAGGGCGGGACACGUGGUAUCCUGUCUGAAUAUGGGGGGACCAUCCUCCAAGGCUAAAUACUCCUGACUGACCGAUAGUGAACCAGUACCGUGAGGGAAAGGCGAAAAGAACCCCGGCGAGGGGAGUGAAAAAGAACCUGAAACCGUGUACGUACAAGCAGUGGGAGCACGCUUAGGCGUGUGACCGCGUACCUUUUGUAUAAUGGGUCAGCGACUUAUAUUCUGUAGCAAGGUUAACCGAAUAGGGGAGCCGAAGGGAAACCGAGUCUUAACUGGGCGUUAAGUUGCAGGGUAUAGACCCGAAACCCGGUGAUCUAGCCAUGGGCAGGUUGAAGGUUGGGUAACACUAACUGGAGGACCGAACCGACUAAUGUUGAAAAAUUAGCGGAUGACUUGUGGCUGGGGGUGAAAGGCCAAUCAAACCGGGAGAUAGCUGGUUCUCCCCGAAAGCUAUUUAGGUAGCGCCUCGUGAACUCAUCUCCGGGGGUAGAGCACUGUUUCGGCAAGGGGGUCAUCCCGACUUACCAACCCGAUGCAAACUGCGAAUACCGGAGAAUGUUAUCACGGGAGACACACGGCGGGUGCUAACGUCCGUCGUGAAGAGGGAAACAACCCAGACCGCCAGCUAAGGUCCCAAAGUCAUGGUUAAGUGGGAAACGAUGUGGGAAGGCCCAGACAGCCAGGAUGUUGGCUUAGAAGCAGCCAUCAUUUAAAGAAAGCGUAAUAGCUCACUGGUCGAGUCGGCCUGCGCGGAAGAUGUAACGGGGCUAAACCAUGCACCGAAGCUGCGGCAGCGACGCUUAUGCGUUGUUGGGUAGGGGAGCGUUCUGUAAGCCUGUGAAGGUGUACUGUGAGGUAUGCUGGAGGUAUCAGAAGUGCGAAUGCUGACAUAAGUAACGAUAAAGCGGGUGA
rnacentral:rRNA from 1 species